GACGAACGCUGGCGGCGUGCUUAACACAUGCAAGUCGAACGCUGAAGCCCAGCUUGCUGGGUGGAUGAGUGGCGAACGGGUGAGUAACACGUGAGUAACCUGCCCCCUUCUUUGGGAUAACGCCCGGAAACGGGUGCUAAUACUGGAUAUUCACUGGCCUUCGCAUGGGGGUUGGUGGAAAGGUUUUUUCUGGUGGGGGAUGGGCUCGCGGCCUAUCAGCUUGUUGGUGGGGUGAUGGCCUACCAAGGCUUUGACGGGUAGCCGGCCUGAGAGGGUGACCGGUCACAUUGGGACUGAGAUACGGCCCAGACUCCUACGGGAGGCAGCAGUGGGGAAUAUUGCACAAUGGGCGAAAGCCUGAUGCAGCGACGCCGCGUGAGGGAUGACGGCCUUCGGGUUGUAAACCUCUUUCGCUCAUGGUCAAGCCGCAACUGUGGUUGUGGUGAGGGUAGUGGGUAAAGAAGCGCCGGCUAAACACGUGCCAACCGCCGGGCUAAACCUAGGGGGCGAACGUUGACUGGAAUUAACUGGGGGUAAGGCGAUGGCAGACGUUUACCACGUCGGACGUGAAAUCCCUCUGGCUCAACCGGGGGCCUGCGUUUCUGAACGGGCUAACUAGAGUAUGUUAGAGGGGGACUGAAACUCCUGUGUUUCCGUUGGAAUGCCCUAAAAUUGCGGAAGAAAACCGAAUGGCGUAAAGUUGGCUUUUUGGGUCCUCCCCGAUUCACGCGCCACCCCCUUGCUUGCCAAUAACAUUAAUAUACACAGGAUGUCCAAGGACGAAAUUCACUGGCGAGAUCAGCCUCUCGUCCCCUAAAAAAAAUAAUAAAAUAAAUGUCCUCAACUUGUUCCUAGAU
rnacentral:rRNA from 1 species